ACACGCGCAUGCCUUAGUACGGCGAGUGAGCGGCAAAAGCUCAAAUUUGAAAUCUGGUACCUUCGGUGCCCGAGUUGUAAUUUGGAGAGGGCAACUUUGGGGCCGUUCCUUGUCUAUGUUCCUUGGAACAGGACGUCAUAGAGGGUGAGAAUCCCGUGUGGCGAGGAGUGCGGUUCUUUGUAAAGUGCCUUCGAAGAGUCGAGUUGUUUGGGAAUGCAGCUCUAAGUGGGUGGUAAAUUCCAUCUAAAGCUAAAUAUUGGCGAGAGACCGAUAGCGAACAAGUACAGUGAUGGAAAGAUGAAAAGAACUUUGAAAAGAGAGUGAAAAAGUACGUGAAAUUGUUGAAAGGGAAGGGCAUUUGAUCAGACAUGGUGUUUUGUGCCCUCUGCUCCUUGUGGGUAGGGGAAUCUCGCAUUUCACUGGGCCAGCAUCAGUUUUGGUGGCAGGAUAAAUCCAUAGGAAUGUAGCUUGCCUCGGUAAGUAUUAUAGCCUGUGGGAAUACUGCCAGCUGGGACUGAGGACUGCGACGUAAGUCAAGGAUGCUGGCAUAAUGGUUAUAUGCCGCCCGUCUUGAACCACGGACCA
rnacentral:rRNA from 1 species